UACAGAGGGGGCAAGCGUUGUUCGGAAUUACUGGGCGUAAAGGGCUGGUAGGCGGCCAACUAAGUCGGAUGUGAAAUCCCCAGGCUUAACCUGGGAACUGCAUCCGAUACUGGUUGGCUUGAAUCCGGGAGAGGGAUGCAGAAUUCCAGGUGUAGCGGUGAAAUGCGUAGAUAUCUGAAGGAACAUCAGUGGCGAAAGCGACUGCCUGGACCAAUACUGACGCUCAUGUGCGAAAGCGUGGGGAGCAAACAGG
rnacentral:rRNA from 1 species